rnacentral:rRNA from 1 species
UACGGGAGGCAGCAGUGGGGAAUAUUGCACAAUGGGGGAAACCCUGAUGCAGCAACGCCGCGUGAGUGAUGAAGGCCUUCGGGUUGUAAAGCUCUGUCUUCAGGGACGAUAAUGACGGUACCUGAGGAGGAAGCCACGGCUAACUACGUGCCAGCAGCCGCGGUAAUACGUAGGUGGCAAGCGUUGUCCGGAUUUACUGGGCGUAAAGGGAGCGUAGGCGGAUACUUAAGUGGGAUGUGAAAUACCUGGGCUUAACUUGGGUGCUGCAUUCCAAACUGGGUGUCUAGAGUGUUGGAGAGGAAAGUGGAAUUCCUAGUGUAGCGGUGAAAUGCGUAGAGAUUAGGAAGAACACCAGUGGCGAAGGCGACUUUCUGGACAAUAACUGACGCUGAGGCUCGAAAGCGUGGGGAGCAAACAGGAUUAGAUACCCUGGUAGUCCACGCCGUAAACGAUGGGUACUAGGUGUAGGGGGCAUCGACUCCCCCC